UACGUAGGGUCCAAGCGUUAUCCGGAAUCACUGGGCGUAAAGCGUGCGUAGGUGGAUAGUUAAGUGCAACAUUUAAAUCCCGUGGCUCAACCAUGUGGCUGUGUUGCAUACUGGCUGUCUAGAGGACAUGAGAGGCAAGUGGAAUUACUGGUGUAGCAGUGAAAUGCGUAGAUAUCACUUGGAACGCCAACGGUGAAGACAGUCUGCUGGGGGAUUUUGCUGACGCUGAGACACGAAAAGCCAGGGGGAGCGAACGGGG
rnacentral:rRNA from 1 species